GACGAACGCUGGCGGCGUGCUUAAUACAUGCAAGUCGAACGGAAAGGCGCUGCUUUUGUGGGGUGCUCGAGUGGCGAACGGGUGAGUAACACGUGAGUAACCUGCCCUUGACUUUGGGAUAACUUCAGGAAACUCGGGCUCAUACCGGAUAGGAGAUCCUGAUGCAUGUUGGGGGUUGGAAAGUGUCGGCGGUUGGGGCUGGACUCGCGGGUUAUGAGCUUGUUGGUGGGGUAGUGGCUUACCAAGGUUUUGACGGGUAGUCGGCAUGGGAGGGUGAACGGCCACAUUGGGACUGAGGUAGGCCCCAGACUCCUACGGGAGGCAGCAGGCGGGAGUAUUGCACACUGAACGGGAGCCAGAUGCAGCAACCUCGGGUGCGGGAAAACUGCCUUCGGGUUGUAAACAAAUUUCGACUGUGACGAAGCGUGAGUGACGGUACCGAGUAAGGAAGCACCGGCUAACUACGUG
rnacentral:rRNA from 1 species